rnacentral:rRNA from 1 species
GACGAACGCUGGCGGCGUGCCUAAUACAUGCAAGUUGAGCGAUGAAGAUUGGUGCUUGCACCAAUUUGAAGAGCAGCGAACGGGUGAGUAACGCGUGGGGAAUCUGCCUUUGAGCGGGGGACAACAUUUGGAAACGAAUGCUAAUACCGCAUAACAACUUUAAACAUAAGUUUUAAGUUUGAAAGAUGCAAUUGCAUCACUCAAAGAUGAUCCCGCGUUGUAUUAGCUAGUUGGUGAGGUAAAGGCUCACCAAGGCGAUGAUACAUAGCCGACCUGAGAGGGUGAUCGGCCACAUUGGGACUGAGACACGGCCCAAACUCCUACGGGAGGCAGCAGUAGGGAAUCUUCGGCAAUGGACGAAAGUCUGACCGAGCAACGCCGCGUGAGGGAAGAAGGUUUUCGGAUCGUAAAACUCUGUUGGUAGAGAAGAACGUUGGUGAGAGUGGAAAGCUCAUCAAGUGACGGUAACUACACAGAAAGGGACGGCUAACUACGUG